GGAAUAUUGCACAAUGGGCGCAAGCCUGAUGCAGCCAUGCCGCGUGUAUGAAGAAGGCCUUCGGGUUGUAAAGUACUUUCAGCGAGGAGGAAGGCAUAAAGGCUAAUAACCUUUGUGAUUGACGUUACUCGCAGAAGAAGCACCGGCUAACUCCGUGCCAGCAGCCGCGGUAAUACGGGGGGUGCAAGCGUUAAUCGGAAUUACUGGGCGUAAAGCGCACGCAGGCGGUUUGUCAAGUCGGAUGUGAAAUCCCCGGGCUCAACCUGGGAACUGCAUUCGAAACGGGCAAGCUAGAGUCUUGUAGAGGGGGGUAGAAUUCCAGGUGUAGCGGUGAAAUGCGUAGAGAUCUGGAGGAAUACCGGUGGCGAAGGCGGCCCCCUGGACAAAGACUGACGCUCAGGUGCGAAAGCGUGGGGAGCAAACAGGAUUAGAUACCCUUG
rnacentral:rRNA from 1 species